AGUGAACGCUGGCGGCGUGCUUAACACAUGCAAGUCGAACGAGAACGGAUUAUAGCUUGCUAUAAUUGUCAGCUAAGUGGCGCACGGGUGAGUAAUGUAUAGGUAAUAUGCCUCUUACUAUGGGAUAACAAAUGGAAACGUUUGCUAAUACCUUAUACUCCUUAUUAACAUAAGUUAAUAAGGGAAAGAUUUAUUUGUAAGCGAUUAGCCUGUAUUGUAUCAGUUAGUUGGUGGGAUAAUGGCUCACCAAGAAUAUGACACAUAACUGGUUUGAGAGGAUGAUCAGUCACACUGGAACUGAGACACGGUCCAGGCUCCUACGGGAGGCAGCAGUGGGGAAUAUUGCACAAUGGACGGAAGUCUGAUGCGGCAACGCCGCGUGGAGGAUGACACAUUUCGGUGCGUAAACUCCUUUUAUAUGAGAAGAUAAUGACGGUAUUAUAUGAAUAAGCACCGGCUAACUCCGUGCCAGCAGCCGCAGUAA
rnacentral:rRNA from 1 species